GUGCCAGCAGCCGCGGUAAUACGGGGGGUGCAAGCGUUACUCGGAAUCACUGGGCGUAAAGAGAAUGUAGGCUGGUUAUUAAGUUGGAAGUGAAAUCCUAUGGCUCAACCAUAGAACUGCUUCCAAAACUGCUUACCUAGAGUAUGGGAGAGGUAGAUGGAAUUUCUGGUGUGGGGGUAAAAUCCGUAGAGAUCAGAAGGAAUACCGAUUGCGAAGGCGAUCUACUGGAACAUUACUGACGCUAAGAUGCGAAAGCGUGGGGAGCAAACAGGAUUAGAUACCCUGGUAGUCCACGCCCUAAACGAUGCACACUAGUUGUUGCUAUGCUAGACAUAGCAGUAAUGCAGUUAACACACUAAAGUGUGCCGCCUGGGGAGUACGGUCGCAAGNUUAAAACUCAAAUGAAAUUGACGG
rnacentral:rRNA from 1 species